rnacentral:rRNA from 1 species
UCAGUCUUUCACCUCGAAAUGUGAAAUUUUGGCUUAAUUCCCGCAAGAAGCCCACCCCUUGUUUUUUUUUCCCUCCGGUAAGGGGGGGCACUCUAAGGAGACUGCCGGUGAUAAACCGGAGGAAGGUGGGGAUGACGUCAAGUCAUCAUGGCCCUUACGACCAGGGCUACACACGUGCUACAAUGGUGGGUACAAAGGGUUGCGACCCCGCGAGGUGGAGCCAAUCCCAUAAACCCCGUCGUAGUCCGGAUUGGGAGUCUGCAACUCGACUCCUGAAGUCGAUUCCUUAGUAAUCGGGUC